rnacentral:rRNA from 1 species
AACGUAGGACACAAGCGUUAUCCGGAGUUACUGGGCGUAAAGGGCUCGUAGGCGGCCCACUAAGUCCGACGUGAAAUCCCCAGGCUUAACUUGGGAACUGCGUCGGAUACUGGUGGGCUUGAAUCCGGGAGAGGGAUGCGGAAUUCCAGGUGUAGCGGUGAAAUGCGUAGAUAUCUGGAGGAACACCGGUGGCGAAGGCGGCAUCCUGGACCGGCAUUGACGCUGAGUGAGCGAAAGCCAGGGGAGCAAACGGG